UACGUAGGGCGCAAGCGUUAUCCGGAAUUAUUGGGCGUAAAGAGCUCGUAGGCGGUUUGUCGCGUCUGCUGUGAAAACUGGGGGCUCAACCCCCAGCCUGCAGUGGGUACGGGCAGACUAGAGUGCGGUAGGGGAGAUUGGAAUUCCUGGUGUAGCGGUGGAAUGCGCAGAUAUCAGGAGGAACACCGAUGGCGAAGGCAGAUCUCUGGGCCGUAACUGACGCUGAGGAGCGAAAGCAUGGGAGCGAACAGG
rnacentral:rRNA from 1 species